UGUUCACUCAUGGUUCUUGUGUUGCCUACCCGUUUAGCGGUAUUCAUGUGCCUCUUAAGACCCGUUCCAUCCAGACCCCUUCUAGGGAGUGCUGGUGAGUUCGAAAGUGAUGCAUGUUUUGCGUUAGCUGUGCAUUGUAACAGCUGGCGUGCUAACAUGUGUCUACUGUUCCCUCGGAUGCGGUGCAUGCGGUGAACGUGGGCUGACGAUUGUGCCCCGUUGAGUCCAUUUUAAUUAUCGGUUGCCUUGAAUGACACUUUGUCGUAGUGCUAGUGUUGCUUUACCAUUCGUGGUGGCAACAGUAGCACGUCGAGCAGAGUCGUUGAUGGAUGCUACCUGGUUGAUCCUGCCAGUAGUCAUAUGCU
rnacentral:misc_RNA from 1 species